CAAAGGAAUUGACGGGGCCCGCACAAGCGGCGGAGCAUGCGGAUUAAUUCGAUGCAACGCGAAGAACCUUACCAAGGCUUGACAUACACCGGUAACGCCCAAAGAUGGGUGCCCCUUUGUGGUCGGUGUACAGGUGGUGCAUGGUUGUCGUCAGCUCGUGUCGUGAGAUGUUGGGUUAAGUCCCGCAACGAGCGCAACCCUCGUCCUAUGUUGCCAGCGGGUCAUGCCGGGGACUCAUGGGAGACUGCCGGGGUCAACUCGGAGGAAGGUGGGGAUGACGUCAAAUCAUCAUGCCCCUUAUGUCUUGGGCUUCACGCAUGCUACAAUGGCCGGUACAAAGGGCUGCGAUACCGCGAGGUGGAGCGAAUCCCAGAAAGCCGGUCUCAGUUCGGAUUGGGGUCUGCAACUCGACCCCAUGAAGUCGGAGUCGCUAGUAAUCGCAGAUCAGCAUGCUGCGGUGAAUACGUUCCCGGGCCUU
rnacentral:rRNA from 1 species